AAAACAUUGAAUAUCCUCCAAUUCACCCUUCUAAUGUCUCUUAAAAAUCAUCAUCGUACAACUAACUUUAGACCAGAAAGUUUUUAAAUAAAAAGCACCUUGGUUUGUAGUGAUCUGCAAUUGAUAUUAUGCAGUUUCUCAGUCGUGCUUGAUUUCUCAGUGUGCUCUGGCAUACCAUAGUCAACAGGAUGAGACCCCUUAACACAGAAUGCAAUCAAUAUAUGACUUGUAGAAUACAAAGGAAAACACCACAUGUGUAAGUACUCACCCUAAAGCUGAACACCUAUGGACGUUUGAAUCGCGUACUGAUGUGAAGUGACACACAAUAUCACUUGCUCCUUUUCUUAUUCUUGUCGUGCUUGUAGUGUUUUUAAUAUCAGUGAGCCAUAUUUCAAAUCUGUUGUUGACUUGGAGAACCAUUGCAGUGAGAAUUAUUUAUAUGCAUUUCGUCCUGUGACUCGUAUCAUAUUCAAUGGAAAUGAGAUAGAGAGACGGAAUCAAACCCGAUGUUGUGAAGGUUCCCGGAUACUUGUAUAUACGAUAGAGGAAAGCAUAACAGACGAAGCAAAGACCAGCAGCCACUCUACAUUAUUCCCCAUAACGGUGACGCAAAUGCUUGAGGCAAAUUCUUCCGCCAUUGGAAGUAAUCCUUCCGCGACAGAGAUAACAACGACACCAGCGCCCGUUAACAUAACUUUGCUUCUGUCGGCGGCCAUUACUGGAAUUGCAUUUCUCUUUGUGGUGGCACUUUUGUGUUGUAUAAUUGUUAAAUGUAAGAGGCAAUCAAAAACAAUUCGAAGAACACAGAAUCCUCAAUACUUUCUCGACAAUUAAGUGCUAUUUCAUGUUAAUUUAAUAUUUUAAUGUAGUAAAUACAAAGUUCCUAAGAGUGAUCCAUUCGACACGAUUCAAAACGAUUACAACCCUGUUGACAGCCAUUAUGAGAACACUGUGAAUCACGACAUUACCAAUAGGAACCAUUCGAAUCGGGCACCUGUCGCAAACCCCGUGAUUUUGGAAUUACAAGGUACUCUACAACGUCCGACAGAAUUCAAUAAUACAGCCCCUAAAGCACACGCUCUUGCAUCAUCAUCCGAUCAAGAUAUUUCAACAGACGAACCAGAUUACGUUAAUACAGAAGGAUAUCUUAAUUUAAACAACCUUCAAUCUCCACCUUGCAAGGGCGUCACAGCUAGAUGCCAUGAUCCAUCAACAUUCUUACACAAGGUCCUACAAAGACGAUAUCAAAGUGACAUUGUUGAUAACGCCAUACCUCAUUUAUAUGUUGAGGUUAUUAAGUGAAUUCAGUUUCAUAAAAAAAACUAUAUUAAAGUUCGUGGGUUUUCUUAAAAUUUCUAAUCUACUAACCAUUUAAAAUGCAAUUAAACGUUCAGCGAUUGUUGCAAUCAUGCAAUUAGCAAUGUUUUUCAAGGGGUAGCUGGAGAAAUUGACUUCAUAUUUGCUCAAAGAAUCUUUGAAUUUAACCUUAUUAUUCACCCAAUAUUUUUACAUUGCAUGUAAAAUUAACAAAAAAGGAACGUUGUGAAAAUUAGGGACCGGGAAAACCCAGCCCCUUCUGAUGCUACGUGCCUGGUUUUAUGUUAAGAUCAUCAAAAUCUUCAUCAAACUGCAGAAGGAAAACAUGGAUUUUGCUUUGAAUUUUAUUCAUUUGUACAAGAAACAAUCUGUGAUUUCACCUAAAGCUUCAAACUGAUACAAAUAAAACGAUCCUAUUAUUAAAA